rnacentral:rRNA from 1 species
AUACGUAGGGGGCGAGCGUUGUCCGGAAUGAUUGGGCGUAAAGGGCGCGUAGGCGGCCUGUUAAGUCUGGAGUGAAAGUCCUGUUUUCAAGAUGGGAAUUGCUUUGGAUACUGCUGGGCUUGAGUGAUGGAGAGGUUAUCGGAAUUCCCGGUGUAGCGGUGAAAUGCGUAGAGAUCGGGAGGAACACCAGUGGCGAAGGCGGGUAACUGGACUGCAACUGACGCUGAGGCGCGAAAGUGUGGGGAGCAAACAGGAUUAGAUACCCUGGUAGUCCACACUGUAAACGAUGAAUGCUAGGUGUAAGAGGUAUCGACCCCUUUUGUGCCGGAGUUAACACAAUAAGCAUUCCGCCUGGGGAGUACGGCCGCAAGGUUGAAACUCAAAGGAAUUGACGGGG